GAUCCCCAAUUCUAAUGGAAAGAAAAACCAACUGGGGAGGCUGAAGCAGUUGUGUCCCUGGGAAUUCGAUGAAGGCGAAACAAAAGAUACUUCCAUUGCCUCUACAUGCUCUGCAACAGCCAACCAGCCAGACUACUUGAG